rnacentral:rRNA from 1 species
UACAGAGGGUGCAAGCGUUGUUCGGAAUUACUGGGCGUAAAGCGCGUGUAGGUGGCGAUGUAAGUCGGGUGUGAAAUCCCUCAGCUUAACUGAGGAAGUGCACUCGAUACUGUGUCGCUUGAGUGUUGGAGGGGAUGGCGGAAUUCCCGGUGUAGGGGUGAAAUUCGUAGAUAUCGGGAGGAACACCUGUGGCGAAGGCGGCCAUCUGGACAACUACUGACACUGAGACGCGAAAGCCAGGGGAGCAAACGGG